rnacentral:misc_RNA from 1 species
GAUGAAGAACGUAGCGAAAUGCGAUAAGUAAUGUGAAUUGCAGAAUUCAGUGAAUCAUCGAAUCUUUGAACGCACAUUGCGCCCCCCAGUAUUCUGGCGGGCAUGCCUGUUCGAGCGUCAUUUCAACCAUCAAGCCCUGCUUGUGUUGGGGUCCUGCGGCUGCCCGCAGGCCCUGAAAACCAGUGGCGGGCUCGCUAGUCACACCGAGCGCAGUAGCACAUCUUGCUCAGGGCGUGCGGCGGGCUCCAGCCGUUAAAGCACCCACCUUUCGCAAGGUUGACCUCGGAUCAGGUAGGAAUACCCGCUGAACUUAAGCAUAUCAAUAAGCGGAGGA